GACAGAGGGUGCAAACGUUGUUCGGAAUCACUGGGCAUAAAGCGCACGUAGGCGGUCCACUAAGUCUCAUGUGAAAUCCCCCGGCUCAACCGGGGAAUUGCGCGAGAUACUGGUGGGCUAGAGAUCGGUAGGGGUGAGUGGAACUCCAGGUGGAGCGGUGAAAUGCGUAGAUAUCUGGAGGAACACCGGUGGCGAAGGCGGCAUCCUGGACCAACACUGACGCUGAGUGAGCGAAAGCCAGGGGAGCAAACGGG
rnacentral:rRNA from 1 species